rnacentral:rRNA from 1 species
AUUGAACGCUGGCGGCAGGCCUAACACAUGCAAGUCGAACGAGUGGCGGACGGGUGAGUAAUGUCUGGGCAACUGCCUGAUGGAGGGUGCUAACUAGUGGAACCCGUAGCUAAUACCGCAUACCAUCAGAUGUGCCCAGAUGGGAUUAGCUUGUUGGUGGGGUAACGGCUCACCAAGGCGACGAUGCCUAGCUGGUCUGAGAGGAUGACCAGCCACACUGGAACUGAGACACGGUCCAGACUCCUACGGGAGGCAGCAGUGGGGAAUAUUGGACAAUGGGCGAAAGCCUGAUGCAGCCAUGCCGCGUGUAUGAAGAAGGCCUUCGGGUUGUAAAGUACUUUCAGCAGGGAGGCGGUACCCGCAGAAGAAGCACCGGCUAACUCCGUGCCAGCAGCCGCGGUAAUAC